rnacentral:tRNA from 1 species
GUCUCUUUCGUCUAGUGGUUAGGACAUUGUCUUUUCACGGCAAAAACACGGGUUCAAUCCCCGUAAGAGAUA